CAGGGAGACAACAAAAUUUUUAAUAUUAUUAUUUUGUCACCUUAGGUCGAUCGGUAUCUCACGUUUUUAAUUUAUUAAGAAUUUCAUUUCCUAAGUUUUUCUAGGUCACACCCCAUUAUUUUUCCUGGGCCAUUAGCUCAGGUGGUUAGAGCGCACCCCUGAUAAGGGUGAGGUCCCUGGUUCAAGUCCAGGAUGGCCCAUAUCUCUAUGUUGGGGGUAUAGCUCAGUUGGUAGAGCGCCUGCUUUGCAAGCAGGAUGUCAGCGGUUCGAGUCCGCUUACCUCCACUGAUCACCACCUCUUCCAUAACUGGUAGAUAGGAAAUUUUUUGAGUUGUGAUCAAAUUCUGAAAGAAUCUAGCUUCCUAAUGAAAUCAUUAAGAUGCUGGACUCAUUGAAUUAAUUUCAUUGUUUUCAGAGAACCUUGACAACUGCAUAGAUUAUUUUUAAAGACAAUAAGCAUCUUUAAUGAUGCAGAUUUAUUAUUUGUGCGAAUGCAUUAAUAACAAUUCUAUUAAGCUGAUGCUUCAAUUUUUGAAGUUAUUG
rnacentral:tRNA from 1 species